CAUGAAUACACUGGUUCCCAUACGACCACCAAAGUUAAGCCAUGUUGAGCUUGAUCAGUACCUAGAUGGGUGACUGCUAGGGAGUACCAGGUGUUGUAUG